GGGUUGUGAGGUUAAGCGACUAAGCGUACACGGUGGAUGCCCUGGCAGUCAGAGGCGAUGAAGGACGUGCUAAUCUGCGAUAAGCGUCGGUGAGGUGAUAUGAACCGUUAUAACCGGCGAUUUCCGAAUGGGGAAACCCAGUGUGUUUCGACACACUAUCAUUAACUGAAUCCAUAGGUUAAUGAGGCGAACCGGGGGAACUGAAACAUCUAAGUACCCCGAGGAAAAGAAAUCAACCGAGAUUCCCCCAGUAGCGGCGAGCGAACGGGGAGGAGCCCAGAGCCUGAAUCAGUGUGUGUGUUAGUGGAAGCGUCUGGAAAGGCGCGCGAUACAGGGUGACAGCCCCGUACACAAAAAUGCACAUAUUGUGAGCUCGAUGAGUAGGGCGGGACACGUGGUAUCCUGUCUGAAUAUGGGGGGACCAUCCUCCAAGGCUAAAUACUCCUGACUGACCGAUAGUGAACCAGUACCGUGAGGGAAAGGCGAAAAGAACCCCGGCGAGGGGAGUGAAAAAGAACCUGAAACCGUGUACGUACAAGCAGUGGGAGCCUCUUUAUGGGGUGACUGCGUACCUUUUGUAUAAUGGGUCAGCGACUUAUAUUCUGUAGCAAGGUUAACCGAAUAGGGGAGCCGAAGGGAAACCGAGUCUUAACUGGGCGUUAAGUUGCAGGGUAUAGACCCGAAACCCGGUGAUCUAGCCAUGGGCAGGUUGAAGGUUGGGUAACACUAACUGGAGGACCGAACCGACUAAUGUUGAAAAAUUAGCGGAUGACUUGUGGCUGGGGGUGAAAGGCCAAUCAAACCGGGAGAUAGCUGGUUCUCCCCGAAAGCUAUUUAGGUAGCGCCUCGUGAAUUCAUCUCCGGGGGUAGAGCACUGUUUCGGCAAGGGGGUCAUCCCGACUUACCAACCCGAUGCAAACUGCGAAUACCGGAGAAUGUUAUCACGGGAGACACACGGCGGGUGCUAACGUCCGUCGUGAAGAGGGAAACAACCCAGACCGCCAGCUAAGGUCCCAAAGUCAUGGUUAAGUGGGAAACGAUGUGGGAAGGCCCAGACAGCCAGGAUGUUGGCUUAGAAGCAGCCAUCAUUUAAAGAAAGCGUAAUAGCUCACUGGUCGAGUCGGCCUGCGCGGAAGAUGUAACGGGGCUAAACCAUGCACCGAAGCUGCGGCAGCGACACUAUGUGUUGUUGGGUAGGGGAGCGUUCUGUAAGCCUGUGAAGGUGGCCUGUGAGGGUUGCUGGAGGUAUCAGAAGUGCGAAUGCUGACAUAAGUAACGAUAAAGCGGGUGAAAAGCCCGCUCGCCGGAAGACCAAGGGUUCCUGUCCAACGUUAAUCGGGGCAGGGUGAGUCGACCCCUAAGGCGAGGCCGAAAGGCGUAGUCGAUGGGAAACAGGUUAAUAUUCCUGUACUUGGUGUUACUGCGAAGGGGGGACGGAGAAGGCUAUGUUGGCCGGGCGACGGUUGUCCCGGUUUAAGCGUGUAGGCUGGUUUUCCAGGCAAAUCCGGAAAACCAAGGCUGAGGCGUGAUGACGAGGCACUACGGUGCUGAAGCGACAAAUGCCCUGCUUCCAGGAAAAGCCUCUAAGCAUCAGGUAACAUCAAAUCGUACCCCAAACCGACACAGGUGGUCAGGUAGAGAAUACCAAGGCGCUUGAGAGAACUCGGGUGAAGGAACUAGGCAAAAUGGUGCCGUAACUUCGGGAGAAGGCACGCUGAUAUGUAGGUGAAGCGACUUGCUCGUGGAGCUGAAAUCAGUCGAAGAUACCAGCUGGCUGCAACUGUUUAUUAAAAACACAGCACUGUGCAAACACGAAAGUGGACGUAUACGGUGUGACGCCUGCCCGGUGCCGGAAGGUUAAUUGAUGGGGUUAGCGGUAACGCGAAGCUCUUGAUCGAAGCCCCGGUAAACGGCGGCCGUAACUAUAACGGUCCUAAGGUAGCGAAAUUCCUUGUCGGGUAAGUUCCGACCUGCACGAAUGGCGUAAUGAUGGCCAGGCUGUCUCCACCCGAGACUCAGUGAAAUUGAAUUCGCUGUGAAGAUGCAGUGUACCCGCGGCAAGACGGAAAGACCCCGUGAACCUUUACUAUAGCUUGACACUGAACAUUGAGCCUUGAUGUGUAGGAUAGGUGGGAGGCUUUGAAGUGUGGACGCCAGUCUGCAUGGAGCCGACCUUGAAAUACCACCCUUUAAUGUUUGAUGUUCUAACGUUGGCCCGUAAUCCGGGUUGCGGACAGUGUCUGGUGGGUAGUUUGACUGGGGCGGUCUCCUCCUAAAGAGUAACGGAGGAGCACGAAGGUUGGCUAAUCCUGGUCGGACAUCAGGAGGUUAGUGCAAUGGCAUAAGCCAGCUUGACUGCGAGCGUGACGGCGCGAGCAGGUGCGAAAGCAGGUCAUAGUGAUCCGGUGGUUCUGAAUGGAAGGGCCAUCGCUCAACGGAUAAAAGGUACUCCGGGGAUAACAGGCUGAUACCGCCCAAGAGUUCAUAUCGACGGCGGUGUUUGGCACCUCGAUGUCGGCUCAUCACAUCCUGGGGCUGAAGUAGGUCCCAAGGGUAUGGCUGUUCGCCAUUUAAAGUGGUACGCGAGCUGGGUUUAGAACGUCGUGAGACAGUUCGGUCCCUAUCUGCCGUGGGCGCUGGAGAACUGAGGGGGGCUGCUCCUAGUACGAGAGGACCGGAGUGGACGCAUCACUGGUAUUCGGGUUGUCAUGCCAAUGGCACUGCCCGGUAGCUAAAUGCGGAAGAGAUAAGUGCUGAAAGCAUCUAAGCACGAAACUUGCCCCGAGAUGAGUUCUCCCUGACUCCUUGAGAGUCCUGAAGGAACGUUGAAGACGACGACGUUGAUAGGCCGGGUGUGUAAGCGCAGCGAUGCGUUGAGCUAACCGGUACUAAUGAACCGUGAGGCUUAACCUUACAACGCCGAAG
rnacentral:rRNA from 1 species